GGGGCCAUAGCUCAACUGGGAGAGCGCUGCGUUCGCAACGCAGAGGCUGAGGGUUCAAAUCCCUUUGGCUCCA
rfam:Elusimicrobia bacterium RIFOXYB2_FTLL_48_7 rifoxyb2_full_scaffold_2089, whole genome shotgun sequence.